CCUACGGGUGGCAGCAGUGGGGAAUAUUGCGCAAUGGGCGAAAGCCUGACGCAGCGACGCCGCGUGAGGGAUGAAGGUCUUCUGAUCGUAAACCUCUGUCAGCAGGGAAGAACGGUCACUGUGCUAAUCAUCAUUGCAUUGACGGUACCUGCAAAGGAAGCAUCGGCUCACUCCGUGCCAGCAGCCGCGGUGAUACGGAGGAUGCGAGCGUUAUCCGGAUUUAUUGGGUUAAAGGGGUGCGUAGGCGGGCUGUUAAGUCAGCGGUAAAAGCCCGGGGCUCAACCCCGGAGAGCCGUUGAAACUGGCUGUCUUGAGAGGUCGAGAGGUAGGCGGAAUGCGUAGUGUAGCGGUGAAAUGCUUAGAUAUUGCGCAGAACUCCGAUUGCGAAGGCAGCAUACUGGGGGAGAUCUGACGCUGAGGCACGAAAGCGUGGGUAUCGAACAGGAUUAGAUACCCUAGUAGUC
rnacentral:rRNA from 1 species